UGUCCCUUGCAAAAACAUUUCUUUGCGGCUAACUUAUGGGUACUUUGCGGCAAAUCUGCAGCAACCUAAAAGCAGUGAGUUUCUCUGAGAUAUGACUGAGGUUCUGCUAAUGUGACAGUUCUUCAGAUCUAGAUGAAUCAUUUGAUCCUGAAAGAGAAUGAAGCCUGCCCCUGAUACUGAAGUCAUUGGCAGUCUUAAAAACAUGGCUUGUAACAACUCUU